CAAAAUCUCGAACAAGGAAGUCAAGCGGGGAAGCAUGAAGAUGAGCCUGACGGCAGAUGAAUCCCGAACGCUCUACUCUUUGCUAGCAGGAGGAGAUCACCGCCCAUUUACGGAUAUCAUCGCCGACUUCACCUCCAAGAUCUCUCGCACUCGUCACUUUGUUGCCUGUUAUUCGCUCGUUAUUCUGUUGGAGCCCAAGAAGUUGCUCCGUGCCACACAACGUUUAGUGGGAUUUUCCAUUCUUCACCAGACAUAUUCCUCGCAGAAAUCAUCUUUUAAUCCGUUUAUAUCUUUUAUUGUAAAUGCCGCUUCUGACGAGGAAGCUGAAAAAUAUGAGAGGGCAUUUGUUUUCCAGCUUUUAG
rnacentral:misc_RNA from 1 species